GGGCACCUUCAACCAACACUAUACCAUCCUACCCUUUGGUGCAUUUCACUUGGUCUAGGUCAAGAGCCUUCCGCUCCCUGGCCUUGGCAAACCUAUACAACUUCUUAUCUCCUCUAAAGCCACAUACAAGCUCUCGAAAGCUACUGUCUUAGCCGUCGUAACCGCUUACUUAGCCUCUCUUCUAGCUAACAUAUACUUCUCCCUAUUCGUCUGCCUCUCCUUAUUAUCCUUGCUCUCAACCAACUUAGCAUAGACCACCUUCUUAGUCUCUGCCUUCCGCUUGACUUCUUUGUUCCACCACCAGUCCCCCUGGUGCUUUCCAGCUCUGUCUCUCGAGACACCCAACGGCCAACACCUCUCUAGCGGUUUCCCUAAUGCAACCGACAGUUGUCUCCCACAUACUAUCCACAUCCCCUCUACUCUCCCAAGCCCCCAUAGUCGUCAACUUCUCCCCUAUUUCCAAAGCACUGGCCAAAGCCAAGCUGUUACCCCUCUUAAUCCUGGGCCGAUCCUCCACUCUCCUCUUUUUUCUGCCCUUUUUGAUAACCAAGUCCAUCACCAACAGCUUUUGUUGAGUUAAAAGAGUUUCCUGGCUUCCUAAUAAGUGUGUUUAAUAUCAUUGGCCUUAGAUCCUAUUUUGACUGUUUCAUCUGCUUUCUUUCUACCGUCUUAAUAGGUAUUUGACUAUCUUCUGACUUUGCUUCAUUGUCUCUCUUGCGUUUAGAUAUUUCAAACUCCUGAAGGAACACUUUCCACUGAACAAGGUGUUUACAUUGCUGAAUCUGUUGCAACUAAGAACACAAAACAACCAAAAGGCCGUUUUAGGCUUUAUGAUAACAAUGAUGCUGUGAGUGCACAAUCUAUCUUUCUCAAGUCCAGAAUUGAAUAUUUUCUUUAUUUACUUCUCUUAUGGCAGAGUUUGCUUUUUCGUAUAGGACCAAAUGAGUUCUAAUCAUACUGCAAGGCGUGAACCCUCUAGCAAAGAGGUUACUGGAGCUGGGAAAAAAGAUGGUGGCAAAUCAUCAAAGAAAGCUGGUACCUUUUUGGUCUUUUCUGUUUUUACUGAACUUAAUUUUAUCAUGGUAGAUAAUUUUGUUAAUAUUUCUUAGAUAAAGACAAGGGAAAAAGUGCAAAGGAAGAGGCACGUGAGGUGCAGCUAAGGGAGGAGGCAUAUAUACGUGAAAAGGUCAUGGUUGUAAAAAAUAAUCUUUCGGCAAUGUUGAAAGCUUUGGGAGAAAUGGCCAUAGCUAAUCCUGUCUUCACUCACAGUCAGCUACCUUCCUUGGUUAGUGUGCUCUAUGCUCUCUGCUAUAUAGUAUAAUAUCUUGACUGUACUUUAAGCAGGUAUCAUCUAAUACAUAUUCUACUCAACCAAACCCCCAUCGAUAAAAUAAAUGCCUAUGUUGCUUAGGAAAAAUGUAGGAAAUAUUACUGAAGUGGAAGUUUCAGUUGUUAUCUCUUGUUUGAUGAAUAUUUGGAUUAUUAGAUUCUGCCGGUCUUUACUAUUAUAGGAAACUAUAUAAUGAGGAAUCAGCAUCUUAGAACAUAUUUCCAUGUUCCUAUUAUUUCGUGCAAAAAGGGUUGCUUUGAUCCUACUUUAUAUUGGCUCGUUAAUAAGAAGAAAACGUUUGUGCUGAUCAGUCAGCAAAGAGUACCAAUAGUGGGUCUUUUGAGGAAUCUGUACUUUGAGUUAAAGUAGAGUUACCUUCGGUAUCUUUGUUAUAUCAUCUAAAUUUUGAAUUUUAUCCGAGUCUCAACUCCUAAGGAGCGUUGAUUUCUCAGAAAAGCAGCGAGUCCUUGUUAGCCUAUUGCGGAAUACUUUGAAAUUCAGACUUCAGACAUGUUAGAUUUUGAUGGCCCACAAUAUAAAACCAUCAAUUCUCAUAUUUUCAGCUGAUGAUCGGGGGCACCUAGCUGAUAUUACCUUUUUUUUUCUUAAAAAAAAAUAUUAGUGAACAUAUAGUUCAAUUGGACAAUUGAAAUAUUAUUAUUAUUUAAUGAAGUGGGUUGAGAACCAUGAGGUCUCAUGUUCAAUUCCUAGCAGGCAGAAACACAAACACUAGGUGAUUUCUUCUCAUCUGUACACGCCUUGGUGGACAGAGUUACUUAGUACCUGUGCUGGUGGGAGUUAGCAGGUCCUCGUGGAAUUAGUCAAAGGUGCGGGCGCUCCCCAACACCACGGUUAUAAAAUAAUAGGUUCAGUAAACUUCACAAUAGGUUCCGUAAACUUCAAAAAUUAGUCAAUAUUAUCCCACUUCUCAUCAUUCAUUAUAAAGGAUUUUAUUUCACAAGUUUUGGCUUCAAUUUCCUUAUCCCCUUAUAAUUCUUCCAUUCAUCAUCCAUGACCAUCUUCUCUAAAGAAGAUUUCACUUUGCGAAUACGAGUCGACAAAAUAACAUAUGAAGUAAAUCUUGUCUCACCAACUUUCAAUAAACACAAAUCUGAAUGUUUUUGAAAAAUCGCAUGUGCCAUGUCAUGAUUCACAACAAAGUUUUUCAAAUUACUCACUUCACUAAGUAACUUCGAGAUCCAUUGGCAAUUAGCAAAGUGAGAUGAUUUAUCAGACGGUUGGCACAUACUUUUCAAAGUUAGAUUCAAACAAUGAACAACACAAGGAGUCCAAAAUAUAUGAGGAUAAUUUUCCUCCACCAUAGUUCCGGCAAGUCAUAUUACUUGCGUUAUCUGUAAUAACUUAAACAACAUUAUUUGGACUUACUUUUUCUAUUGCUUUAACAAACAAAUUAACAAUAUAUUCUCCACCCUUCAUGCACCCACUAGAAUUUAUUGAAUUUAAUAACAUUGGAUUCCCACGAGAUGAUGUCAAUAUAUUGAUCAAAGGUCGUCUUUUAGUGUCAGACUAUCCGUCCGAACAAAUCGACAACCCUUUCUUUUUUCAUGUAUCUUUAAUUGGUUGCAAUUUUCUAUUAAUGUGAGUCUUUUCUUGGUCUAAAAGAGUUGUUCUCAACCUAUUAUAUGAUGGGGGAAUCUAAUCGGGGAUGGAAUUUUCAGCUAAAAACGUCGAAUAUUUUUUCAAGUAUGGAGAAUUGGCUAAAUUGAAUGAUAAACCUGAUGCGUAGAACAUUCUAGCCGCUGAUUUGUCGGCAGUAUUCCUCUCAUGGAUGCCGAAAGAUUUUCCUAUAGCUCCACUUUCUGAACUCUUUUUUUUUUGUUGGAAGUAAAUCAGUGCCCUCCGGAAGAGAUACAUAAUCAACUUUUUUUCUUGCAUUAACUUGAACUGAAGAUUUUUUAUUUUCAGCUUGUUCGUGCUCCAUCUUCAAAAUUCUCAAUGUAUCACCUUGAACUUCGCUAUAUAUUUGAACGCCUUGACCCGAUAAUCUUAACAGAUGUGCUUUAAUUCUAUUAUAUGUUCCAGUAACUUGUUUAUUACAAUAGUUACAUGACCAUGUUCUAUUUCCACCACCAUUGAGAGCAGUUGAAAUUACUUUUACAUGAUUCCAUUGUGGUUUGUCAUCAAAAUCUACUCCUAUACUUUUUGUUAGUCUCAUAGGACCUUUUCCCUUUUGACUACCCGAUGUGGAUGAUGCCAUAUUAUUUGAUAAAGAAUAAUCAAAUUUUUAAUUUAAAAUUUCUUUUGACAGACGUUCUAUUUAUAAUGUUAUGGAUGAAGACAAUCUUAGACUUUUCCCAAUUUAAAUCAAUUUAAUGUUCCUUGACACAUAAGGAUUAGGAUUUAUUUAUUUUAGUUAAUUUACUAUUUUUAGUUAUUUUUGUCUUUUGAUUUCACUUUUUAAUUAGGAAUAGUAUUUCUAUUAAAAACUUUUUCCAAAAUUACAACUCACGUUUAUUUACUAAAAUAAAAAACAAAUAUAAUUAAGAACUUAAAAAAUGCUGUCAAAGUAAAAUACAUGACCGACAUAAAAUAUCCUUACUGAGGAUCGACAUAGUAAAGUAACUCUUUAUUAAUUAAAAAUAAUAUUAAAAAAAAAAGACCAUACAUCACCGACAUAAAAUAUCCUUACUGAGGGACUGACAUAGUAAAGUAACUCUUUAUUAAUUAAAAAUAGUAUUUACAAAAAAAAACCUGUAGACAAAAGUUUCAAAACAGUGAAUUUGACUUGAAAAAAAAAAACGUCUUCUGUGUAAACGCCGACUGCGCCAAUGAUUUCCGGUACCCUAAGGUGGUACGAAGACUGCGCAGAUGAUUUACGGCAACGUCGACAAUGAUUUCCGGCGACAUCGACGAUGAUUUCCGGGAACGGCACAUCGACAACACCGUUUCUGUUCCGGUGGUCGUUGGUCGGGAUUUUUUAAGGUAAGUUGCUGGUUAAUUAUUCAAUGUUUCCACUCAAAUUUUCUUUAAAUUGGUCAACGUCUCCGAAAUCGGUUGACCGAAUCAGAGACGUUGCCGGUUAAUUAUUCAAUGUUUCCACUCAAUUUUUCUUUAAAUUGGUCAACGUCUCCGAAAUCGGUUGACUGAAUCGGAGAAGGCGGAAGCAUCCGUCCCCGUCUCGUGUCGAGACGGGUUCGGCGGCAAAACAGCCGAGUCCGAGCAACAUAGGUUGUACGUGGUAAGCUGCAUAUAUUAAUCACCUCUGACUCAAGACAACUUGCAAAAGAGAGGCUACAACAUGCAUAGCUGUCGAUGUGAAAGAGGGAUGGAAGUAAUUUUGACAUAUUCUUGUAUUGAGGUCGUAUCUAAACUCUGGGAAAUGUUUCUGAAUAUGCUCAACUUGAAAUGGGCAAUGCCUUAUCUCAAGACCUACUGUUUUGCUGGAAUGGAGAAGUUAUCACCAAGAAGAAAAGAUGGACGUGGCACACAAUCCCUGCAUGCACCUGGUGGAUAAUUUGGAAGGAGAGGAACCUCAGGUGUUUAAAAAAGAUCGCAGCCAUCCGUAAAAUCAAGAUUGGCUGCAUAUUCUUGCUGUCAUUUUUUGUGUAAAAAUUAACAAAUAGACUAAUAGAGAACAGAGAAGAGAAGCUCAUAGAGUUCAUCAGUGUUAUACAGGACUGGGAAGUUACCUUUUGUUGUCAUGUAAAUGCCAUAUGCCCAUGUCCUUGCUGUCUAUGUAGGUUAGUUAGCAUAUAAGGAAGUCAGGUGCAAUCUUUUGCUCUAGAGAACCUCCUUGGUGCUGCCUAAGCUUUAAUUUGCUGGAUCCAAAAUUUUUAUGUAGUCAAGCUGGAAAAUAGAUGUUGAUUUGUAGUACAAGGGGAAGCGAAAGACUAUGAAAACUAAUUAAGCUACAGGUGUUGAGUCAGGUCGUAAACAUUUCUUUUAUCGUUGUUAAGUUUAUCUGACUUCAUUUUCUCCCUUGAUUCUCUUUUGUAGGCUGAUGUCCUUGUGUUUUUUGUGAACUUAAGUUAGAGACUUUACUCAAACUAGUUGUUAUCUUCUGGAUUUUUCUUGUCUAUUAAAAUUAUUUUAAUUCCAUGGGCCUAUAUUAACAAGGGAAAAGGAAUCUGUGCCCUUAUGUAACACUGUUCUUGUGUAUGGGUUGUACUUUUAAGGGUCAUACCCUUGUAUGUUGCAGUCUUUAACUCUUUUAUUUAAUCUGAUAAUUAGGUGAAGUUUAUCAAUCCUGUAUUACGGUCACCAAUAGUUGGUGAUGUGGCGUAUGAAACCCUCGUGAAGCUUUCAAAGUGUACUGCUACUCCACUUUGUAACUGGGCUCUUGAGAUUGCAACAGCUUUGAGGUUAAUUAUGUCAGCGGAUGCUAAUGUCUUAUGGGGUCAAAUUCCUUGUGCUGGUGAAGAGGUAUCAAAUGGAAGGCCUGGUCUCUUUGAGUGUGUAACAAACGGUUUAUCCAUCUCCUGCAAAACUGGGUCUCUCCCUGUGGAUUCAUUUACUUUUGUUUUCCCUGUAAGUUUGUGGUCUGAUCAUGUCAACUUUACUUUUCUGGUUUUUCCUUGCCACUGAGACACCGACAUUUUCUGAUAUAUGUAUUUUUUCUUUUUGUUGCAUGCAUAGAUAAUGGAGAGAAUAUUGUUAUCUCCCAAGAAGACCAGACUUCAUGAUGAUGUUCUCAAGAUAAUAUUCUUGCAUUUGGAUUCGUUCUUACCCCUACCUAGAGUUCAAAUGCUCUCAGUUAUGAUCACUACAACUUCUUGUUGUGUAUAGCUUGAUUAUCAUAAAUAUAUAUAUAUAUAUAUAUAUUUCUGACUGUUAUCUUGGUGAUUUUGUAGGUUCUUUAUCAUGUCCUGGGUGUUGUUCCUGCUUAUCAAGCAACUAUUGGACCGGCAUUAAAUGAGUUAUGCCUUGGGGUGAAAUCAGAUGAAGUGGCACCUGUAUGUGAUGUGGUUUUGAAUUUAUUCUGUGCCCUUCUACAUAAUAUUUAUAAUCUCUCUGUUUCUUGGUCUUUGCAGGCUUUAUGUGGUAUUUAUGCUAAAGACAGCCAUGUAAGAAUGGCUUGCUUAAAUGCUGUGAAGUGCCUUCCUGCUCUUGCUAGUCAUUCUGUCCCUCAAAGUAGUGAAAUUGCCACCCGUAUCUGGCUUGCUUUACAUGAUCCUGAAAAGGUAUUACGUUCUUGUAGAAGUUCCUUUUCUAGUGAUAAAUGCUUAACUCUGGAUUUUCAGUUCCCUUGAAUAUUACUCCUUCCUGUUUCAGUUUGUUUGUUUUGUUUUGACUUGACACGGAGUUUAAGAAAGUAAAGAAGACUUUUGAAUCUUGUGGUCUUAAACUAAAACUAUGUAAAAUGUAUCAAAAUGCCCUUUAAUCUCGUGAUCUUAAACAUACCAUGUGGAAAAUUGGAAUUGAAGAGUUGCUAAUAUAGGAAAGACGUUCUUUUUGAAACGGACUAAUAAGAAAAGUAAGACAAACAAAUUGAAAUAGAAGGAUUAAUAAUGAUAUAUUGUUCAAAAGUUACUGGUGCCAAAAAAAAGAUAUAUUGUUCAAAUUUGCAUGAUGACCAGUAAGGGAUCAUGCUUUCAUCAAGUUGAAUGAACCCUGUGCAUAUGUUUAUUGUUGAUCUCUAUUAUUGUUGGACGUUUGUCUAAUAUAUAGGAUGGGCAUGAUAACUGGCAUCAAGUACGGUGUGCUUUCAAAUUUCAAUAGUAUCAAAAAUUCAAGAUUUUCACGUUAGAGAAGAGUUUUAGACUCUUAGUCUAGCUUAACAUUCCACAACAUAAUGAGCUCCAAUGUGGUUGCCUGGAGCAGGGGGCAACUUGAUUUACUGCUUUUCUCUUCUGUUUUUGCUGGAAAGGUGUUUCUAUUCUCCUAGAGAGUUUGAGAUUUUAAUUUAUCAUUUCUUCUUGCGACAUAAACCAUCCCUGGAUGCUUUUUAAAUUGUUUAACAGCUCCCAUAGCAUUUUAUAAGUGGCAUAUACAUUGUCCGAACUUGUAAGUCGAAAGUUCAACAUGAAAAAACAUAAGCUAGCAAAAUAAAUUACUUAGAGGAGAUACGGGUACACUAUAUCAUGCUGUCUAACUAGUGUAAUACAAGUGCAAAACUCACAUGCAUCUAAAUAUUUGGGUUCUGUGAUUCGUAGAAUCGGUCCUACCCAAGAAGCAUCCUGGUAACUAAUUGUAGGAGGGUGCAUAAGUGUGUUAUUUAUUUUGUCCUCUGGUAGGCAUCCUGUGUAGAUCUGGUAUGGUUCUUCCCUUUACCUGUUACUUUGAAGAAAAUGGGCAGUUGUUGCAUGUAUUUGGUGGAGUGUUUGGACUGAAAUAAACAAAUAGUGUUUUGAUGAUUAUAUGAGUUCCACCAACAAGAUAAGAGUCUAUUUGUAUGUUUUUAUUUUGCUUGUGGUGUAGGAUGGAACGCGUAAAUGAAGCUGAAACAGUUCUACAAACAUUCAAAUUCCUACAAAAUUAGACGGGAACAGUUUUGUUGUUUGUUCUUUUACUACAUUGUACAGUCCCAUAACAGAUCCUUGGUAUUAUUAAAUUAAUUAAUUUACCUUUUUAAAUAGAAAUUGGGCAAUUGCCUGACUCUCGAAAUGAUCGUGCCCAGAUAUACAGUUCGGCUUUCCUGUUAGUUGAAAGUGACAAAAAGCAAUGGCUUGAUCUUAGGUAAAUGAAUGUAGGAGCUUAAUAACUUCGGUAUCUGAAUAGUAUGGUCUUAUGAUAUUUGCUGAUUUACUCAAUCGACUAUUUGUUUUGAUUAUGUCAAGUUAGGUUCAUUCAUUUGAAUGUGUAGAUUAAGUGUUGCUGUGAUUCAGUAUGUCUAUUUUAUGUCCAAAAUGUUAUCAUGACAGUAUGAACUCCGUGUAUUCUCUAUUCAGUGUGUUUCUGAAGCUGCUGAAGACAUCUGGGAUCAUUACGGGUAUGACUUAGGAACAGAUUACUCUGGAAUUUUCAAAGCUCUUUCCCAUGUUAAUUAUAAUGUGCGAGUGGCUGGCGCUGAGGCCUUGGCUGCUGCUUUAGAUGAAAGUCCAGAUGCGAUACAGGUUUAUUUGUCUUCUAUGUUCUGUUUUCUGGAAAUUUAUAAAAAAUUAACUGACUAGUGUGGAUUUUUUUUUUUAAUCUUUGUUUUUACGCUUUCAGGAAUGUCUUUCAACUUUAUUUUCCUUGUACAUCCGUGAUGUUGGUUCUGGUGAAGACAGCAUUGAUUUUGGCUGGAUAGGAAGACAAGGAAUAGCAUUGGCUUUACUUUCUGUGGCAGAGGUUCUUAGAGCAAAAGACCUUCCCGUUGUUAUGACAUUCCUAAUUUCAAGGGCACUGGUACUAAGUUCUCUCUCUGAAUGAGGUGUCGUUAAUCAUGUCAAUGUUUUAAUGUAUCAUACUGGUUGAAAUGUAAGAACUGCAUUUUUACUUUUUGUUUGUUCUUUUUCUCUCUCUCAAAGAUUGCUAAUGAUUUCACUAAUAGGUGCACGCAAGUUCUUAUUUACUUUGUCAUGCUGAUUUUGGCAAUGAAUUUCUUCUAAGAGUUUGUCUUCUUGUUGUGAUGCUAAACAUGUGAACUAUCUUACAAUUGAAAGAUCCUUGCUGAGAUACUUUUUAUCUUGGCUUUUAAGGAGUUCCCUCCUUGUAUUAAAAAGCUUUAAAAGCACACAUCGCUUGAUAAGUAGUAGCUGUUUUAUUACGUGUGGUGCUUCACUUGGUUUUGUAAACCAUCAACACAGAACUCAUUUGAAAUACAUUGAAUUUCAUAAGAAAAGGUUUUGCCCUAUUUGGGUUUGAGUAGUGGGGGUUUUGGAAAUGCAGGCAGAUCCUAAUGCAGAUGUUAGAGGAAGAAUGAUCAAUGCCGGCAUAGUUAUUAUUGACAAACAUGGAAGAGAGAAUGUCUCAUUGCUAUUCCCUAUUUUCGAAAACUACUUGAACAAAAAGGUAUGGUAUAUUUGUUUCCUUACAUCAUCUAUGUGUUUUACUCUUUGGAGGUUUUAUACCUUUGGGUUGGGGGUGAGUAAUCGGUGUUUGAGUUUUUCGUGUUGACUCCUGUUGUGCUUUUGUGGCAGUUAAAGCUAGUUAUAGUCUUCGAAUAUAUGACAUAUGUUAAAAUAGCUGACAAUGACCAACUGUUUGUUGAUUGUGCAGGCUUCAGAUGAGGAGAAAUAUGAUCUGGUCCGUGAAGGUGUGGUAAUAUUUACUGGUGCCUUAGCUAAGCAUUUGGCCAAGGUAAUUUAUCUCCCCUCUUAUAAACUUGGUCCGCGGUAAAGACUUCUGAAGAUUCUGGUUCUAAUACCUUGUUUAUUUUGGAACAGGAUGACCCUAAGGUUCACACAGUUGUAGAGAAGUUGCUGGAUGUACUGAAUACUCCUUCUGAAGCUGUUCAGCGAGCUGUCGCUACCUGCCUUUCUCCACUUAUGCAAGCAAAACAGGUUAGUUGUCUUCUAGAAAGCUUCUUACACUAUGUAACAAACAAGAAACAUUGUCACAUGACAUGACUGUAGAUCUUGAACAAUCUGCAGUUACUACACUCCUCGCUAACAGUCAAAAGUGUCUGCUAUUGCUUACUGCCAGGCUACUUUGACUCUUCAUAACGUGCAUGUGUCAGAAGGAUAUGUUUUGAGCCUGGGUACUUUAUCUAGAUCCUACGGAAAAUGUCUUAAACUUGCUAAAAUUUGGAUGUGUCUUACCUAUAAAAACAGGAAACGUGCCUAUACCCAAUCCAUAUCCAUAUGCAUGUCCAUAUAUAACCAUAUUUGAGUCCAUUUAUAAUAGGUUUACUGCAUGGAAUGCUAUAUCGUGUAUCCUAGUGGGUUGUGCAGCUUUACAUUCCUCCUCAGGAAGGGUUUGUACUUUUAGCAAAGCAUGUAAAAAGAACCAAAGUGACAAUUUUCUUAACCCCUGUUAUCAUCCUAAUUUGCAUGAAUCUUGCAGUUACACCUUUCAGUCUACGAUGAGUAAAAUCCAAUAUCAUUAAGCCAUGUGGAAUUUUGUUCCUUUUUCCUUCAGGCCAUUGGUGUUCUGAGGUGGUAAUUGCAGACUUGUUUGGCUAACUACAGACCUAUUCUCAUGUAUUUACCAUGCUAAUCCUGAUAGUUACUUGAGAUAUUUCUGAAGGAAUUCUCGUCUCGCAUAGCUUUUAAGUUUGUUUUGUAAUUCAAAUUUCUCUAGCAUUCUAUUUCCUUCUUGUUCUGUACUGCAUAAAGUCAUGGAAAUAUAAAUGACUUAUGUAUGUCCUAGUUCCAUUUCUAUAAUUUUGACUUUGUUUCUUCCAGAUUUGUUCUUUUUUGAUAUUUUUCUUCCUUAGCCAUCUCUUUCUUUCUCUGUCCCAACAUCUUUUUUGUUAGUUUAUACCUAAUUUGCAAGCUGAAACUGGAUUUUCUUUUUGCCCAUCUCUUCUCUUGCACCAGGAGGAUGCACCAUCUCUGGUUUCUAGGCUUUUGGACCAGCUAAUGAAGAGUGACAAAUAUGGUGAAGGGAUUUGGAAUAUCUUGCCUGAAGAAAUAUGGCAUUGUAGCAGCAUUACAUGAAGGUUUUGCUGACAGGUUAGUCUUCUGGCAUGUGUCAAUCACUCUAAAUUAGAGGUUGAGUUACCCUGUGAUUUAACUCAGUAAUUUUCUGUUCUUUUCGGAGGGUGUGAUGAAAUGUCAUGAAUAACAACCCAGUUGAGGCAUUAUAUUAUGGAAUUAGUCCGAAGAACUCAUUCUUCUAUUUACCUUCAUCUUUAUGUGCUAGAUAUUGUUGAAAUGAAAUUUCAAGGUUAUGAUCGCUUGACGUAUAGGCUUUUAUAUCAAUGAUAAAAUAAAAAGGCAGCCUAGUGCACUAAAGCUCCUGCUUCGCAGGGUCCGGGGAAGGACCCCACCACAUAAAAUGAUGAUUAAUAAAAAUAAUCAGGGCCCCACCACAUAGAAUGAUAAUUAAUAAAGCUAUUCUGUAUGCCUUUGUGGCUCGAUUAUGUGCUUUUGCUUAUGUCUUAAAAAUGUAGAAUUAGAUAAAUGCUUCUUGGCUUAAUUUUUCAGUUAAAUCUUCCAGUUGCACUUGUCCACAACAAGGAAAAAGGGGAAAAGUGACUUUGUUAUCUUUCAGCAUGUCGCCUCUUUUCCUGAUAGUUGCUACUAAAGUUCGAGCUCUGAACUUUAGAGGACCUCUUCAUGAAAUAUCUACAUCGAUUAGCUGUGUUCUGACCAUAGUUAUAUGUUUCUGAUAUGAUCUGGAAGUUUUUCAUGCUGUUACCGAAUUGUAUAUUAGUAUUGAAAAAAAUUGGACCUGAAUAGAGGGUAGUGGAUAAAUAGGAUUCAUACAUCUGAUUCCAGCAAAUGCGGGAUGCAGUUUAUAGAAUUUCAGAGUAUUUCUUGCUUGGCAUUUUAGCUAGCAACAGUUGACAUUCAACAUUGUUUCAUUGAUAUGGUUUUAUCGCGAGGUUGCGAUCUCAUUAUAUUUCAAUAACUGCACCUUUCUACAUAUGUAAGUUUCUCCUUCCUGGAUCUGAAUGAUGUUUAUUUGCAGGAAUUCGGCUAAGAGCCGUGAAGGAGCACUGCUUGCAUUUGAAUGCUUCUGUGAGAAGCUCGGGAAGUUGUUUGAACCGUAUGUCUUAUGUUUAUACUUCUUUUCUGUAGAAAAUGAUACAAAUGAAAUGCUUAUCCUUUUAUGUAAUUUGAACUGGGAUAUGAGAUUAACCAGCUCCGUUUCAUCUGUCUCCCUGUUUUUCCUUCAGGUAUGUAAUUCAAAUGUUUCCGUUCCUCUUGGUUUCUUUCUCUGAUCAAGUGGUUGCGGUGCGUGAUGCUGCUGAAUGCGCUGCUCGGGCAAUGAUGUCUCAGCUUAGUGCUCAAGGAGUGAAACUAAUUCUUCCAUCACUUUUAAAGGUUCUUAAUUUAGCUUUUCCCGGUACCUCAACUCAAUGCAGUUGACUCCAUUCAUACUUUAUUGAUUGAGUGAUGUGGUUAACUGGAUGAUGGAGUAAACUUGCACAAUGUAGUUUACGCACACUUAUAGAGUACUCUUAUGAAGUAGUGUUCAAAAUUCUUUUACGGUGUACGUAUAUCCUAAACGGCUCUUGUAGUUUACUGGGACUCUUAGAUAGGAUUAAUUAUAGCUUUUGAGAAUGUUCUUCUGUGUUCUGAUGAUGAGAAAUUGUUGCACAGCAGUUCAUGUUGGUUAGCCUUGAGGACUGUCUGGUUGCGUAGGAAUAGAGAAGCUGUAACCUUAAUGAACGCUUGCUCUUUGUUUUUUGAAGAACAAGUGUAACAUUUCAUGAAUGCUUAUACUGUGGAUUUUUAUCAACUUUUGGCAUCUGUUUAUCUCAUCUGAAAUGACACAAUUGGAUCUUCAGUUUUGUUGAAAUAACCUAUAUGGGUCUAAAAUGAACAGAAAAACUUUGAUAUUCUGCUGUAGUUGAUGAGUCUGCUAUUAAAUAUCUUCCCAUGUUUUAUUACUUAUCCUUCAUUACAUGAGACCUAUGUUUACAAUUACUUUUCUGCAUCAGGGCCUUGAAGAUAAGGCUUGGAGAACCAAACAGAGUAGUGUACAACUUCUUGGUGCCAUGGCGUACUGUGCUCCGCAGCAAUUGUCGCAGUGUCUCCCUAAGAUUGUACCCAAGUUAACUGAGGUUUGUCCUAUUGCAUGCAAGCUCAGUGCUGCUGUCUCUGCCUAGUGGCUAGUGCCAUACUAGUCUCAGUUUCUUACCGCUUUGUAAUACUGUACAGGUGCUUACUGACACUCAUCCUAAGGUUCAAUCAGCUGGACAGACGGCCCUUCAACAGGUUAAACUAUCUCAUGAUAAAGUUUCUCUUACUUUCCCUGUUCUACUUCUUGCCAUUUAUUGUUUAUUUUGUCUUAUGUUGAGUAUAGGUCGGGAGUGUAAUAAAGAACCCUGAGAUAUCUGCACUUGUCCCUACUCUUCUAAUGGGUCUUACAGAUCCUAAUGAGCAUACAAAAUACUCCCUUGAUAUUCUCCUCCAGGUAAAUAUGUUUACUGAUAACGUGUUAUCUGGUUUCCAUGUCCCACUUUUUGACAGGUACUCUGGUUUCCAUGUACUUCCUGAUAAGCUAAUUCCUUUUUCCAAUUCUUUCAGACAACUUUUGUGAAUUCAAUUGAUGCUCCUUCUCUCGCGCUGCUAGUACCGAUUGUACACCGAGGGCUUCGUGAAAGGAGUGCUGAGACUAAGAAGAAAGCUGCACAAAUUGCUGGAAAUAUGUGUUCAUUAGUGACAGAGCCGAAGGACAUGAUACCCUACAUAGGACUACUGCUCCCUGAAGUUAAAAAGGUACAUCUGAAAAUAAUUGUAGUAACAGAUUAUGAUGAGUGCCAAAGUUUACUCAAUGCUAUUUUCAUACGAUUUCAGGUACUUGUGGAUCCAAUACCUGAAGUUCGAUCAGUUGCUGCCAGAGCUAUUGGUUCUCUUAUACGAGGGAUGGGAGAAGAAAAUUUCCCUGACCUGGUGCCUUGGUUGUUGGAUACUUUGAAGUCUGAUGGAAGCAAUGUUGAGCGUUCUGGGGCUGCACAGGGACUAAGUGAGGUAUAAUUAUCUCAUCCGCUCUCUCUCUCUCUCUCUCUCUCUCUUGUUAUAAGGAGUUGAAAACCUCCAUUUUGGGGGGGGGGGGGGGGGGUUAGAAUUUUUUUUAAAAAAAAAAUUUUUGAGUAAUUUUGAAAAAAAUAUAUUUUGGAUAUCAUUCUAAGUUAGCAUUUGCAUGGUCUCUUACCUGUGGUCUUUUGUCAAGAGGUAAAUAUAAUAGAUCUUUUUUGGACUUUAAUGGGGUUCUUUUAAUAUUGUUACCGAGAUUAAAGUUUUUUGAUGUAUGCACACUUUGCUUGUUCUCUUGCAUUGGUUUAGCGGGGUGGUUUUAAAAUAAUUUUUUGACAUUAUUUGAAUAAACGAAUUGAAAUGGCUUUAAAGGAGUUCUUUCAAUAUUGUCACUACGAUUAAUGUUUUAUGCUGUAUGCACACUUUGCUUUUCCUCUUGCAUUAGUUUAGCAGGGUGGUUGACUUUAGAAUAAGUUCUUGACAUUGUUUGCACAAACAAAUUGAAAUGGAUUUUGAGCAUCUUUAUCUUAUUGGCUCUGCUCUCUCUUUUAAACUUGGCUGUUGUGGUGUGAGGACCAAGAAACACUAAUUAACAAGCUGGAAAAGACUGUACCUUUUGGUGCAUCAUCAAGGAGUAUUGGGGCUGGUGGUAGGUGGGUGGGUCUGGAACUAGUAAUAAAGAAUGGAGACUCUCCUUUUGAGCUGCGUAGGGUUCUUGUUUUCAAUUUCAACCUACAAGUGUAUUUUCCACCUUCCCAGGUAUUGGCUGCAUUAGGAGUGGAGUACUUUGAGAACAUACUUCCUGAUAUAAUACGAAAUUGUUCUCAUCAAAAGGCAUCUGUUCGUGAUGGGCACUUGGCACUCUUUAGGGUAAGCAGUUGAUUAUUAUUAUUUCUUUUUUUUUGAAGUUUUUCAGAAAGAUAGAGAACUUCACUUCUAUAUAUUUUCUCAUAUGAAUUGUUUUGUCUGCUUGUAGUAUCUGCCAAGAUCCUUAGGCGUCCAAUUCCAGAACUAUUUGCAACAAGUUCUGCCAGCUAUCUUAGAUGGUAAAUUGCUCCCUCUUUCUCUCACCCACCCCCACACCCAGAGGCGCGAACAUUCUCACAUAGAUAAACAAAUCUAGCAUUUGUUCUUUCUAAAUGGCAGAAAUUGUUGCAGUAUUAUGGGUGGGUGUCUUUUAUAUUUACUUGCAUAGAGAGGUUCCUUGAAUUAACAAUGUAUUCUACAAUAGGUUUGGCCGAUGAGAAUGAAUCUGUGCGUGAAGCAGCACUCAGUGCUGGCCAUGUUCUGGUGGAACACUAUGCAACUACGUAUGCCUUCUUUGUCAUCUUCCACAUCUAGUUUUAAGCUAGUCUCUUGCUCUCUUAAGUUUGCUUUGGGGUUCCCGUCAAUGGCUGUGAAUUUAGUGCUAUGAUAUUUAAUUUAUUUAGAUAUACACAAUGGAAGAGGCUACCCUGGAGUGAAUGAUAACGCUGUUAUGAUUAUUGUUCAUAUGAUAAUUGAACUGCUGACCUUUUUUUACUCUAUGAUCUUCUUUGGUUCCAGAUCUUUGCCCCUGCUUCUUCCAGCUGUGGAAGAAGGUAUUUUCAAUGAUAACUGGCGUAUCAGGCAGAGUUCUGUAGAGUUGCUGGGUGACCUUCUGUUCAAGGUAUGUUUCGCACGUCAGCAUCAUACUGUAGGAAGCAGGUUUGUUAAUGUAUUAUUUUCUUCUAGGUUGCUGGAACAUCUGGAAAAGCACAUCUUGAGGGUGGUAGUGAUGAUGAGGGUGCCAGUACUGAGGCUCAAGGACGAGCUAUUAUUGAGGUACUCGGUAGGGACAAGCGCAAUGAAAUCCUUGCCGCAUUGUAUAUGGUCCGAACUGAUGUCAGCAUAACCGUCCGCCAGGUAGUGUUUAUUUCAAAAACUAUUGGAUGCUUCAAUCUUGGUGUUCGACUUGUUUGGAGAUGCUGUAUAGUAAUGAAUAAACUUUAAUUACUUUGUAUUUUCUUUUUUCAGGCUGCUUUGCAUGUUUGGAAGACCAUUGUUGCAAAUACUCCGAAAACGUUGAAGGAGAUAAUGCCUGUCCUGAUGAGCACAUUGAUAAGUUCUCUAGCAUCUUCAUCCUCUGAAAGGAGACAGGUAUGCUGUUACCCUUGUUUAUGGUAAUCACAUAUGUGUUAAGUAGUUCUGAAGAUAAGAAUUCUGUGGCCUGAAAUUUGCAGGUUGCUGGACGAGCAUUGGGUGAGCUUGUUAGGAAGCUUGGAGAAAGAGUCCUUCCCUUGAUUAUCCCAAUAUUGUCAAGGGGUCUAAAAGAUUCUAAUCCAAGUAGAAGACAAGUGAGUACUUCUGUAUGCUUCUAGGUGUUUUUUGUAAUUUCUCUGACUGCUUACUUCUUCCAACUGAUCAAGUUUAACUGGACACUUAUGUUUUUGUUGGUGUAAUGAACUGAAGAUGAACUUGUAAAUGAUGUAAAAUAACUACUUAGCUACAUAAUUAGGAGAGGAUUCUUUCUUUGGUUUUUGCUCACUUGUACAUAUUUCAGCACCCUCUAUAGUGAUGCGACUGUAAUAUAAUUCCUAAAAUCAAUACUUAGCUGCACGAUUAGGAGAGGAUUCUUUCUUUGGUUUUUGCUCACUUGUACAUAUUUCAGCAACGAUAAUAUAGUUCCAACUUUAUCGAUGACCCAGAAGGGACAGUUUUUUUUUUUUAUAUUUAUGAAAAAAUUAUCUUGAACUUUUAAAUGAGACAGUUGAUACAAUACAAUAUGAUAUUGGAAUUGGAAAAAUGUCCUGCAUUCGAGUCUCAUCGUCACCAACAUAAAGUACUUCCAUGUGCUUGACCCAAUAAAAAUAAGAUUAAGCCCACACGCGGGGAAUUGUGCAAACCUAAAUUAAGUAAAUAUGUUGUCUAAAAAACCUCACUUUUUUGAAUGGGCGGUUCAUACGUUUAAUUAAUUCCCAAAUUUGUUGCGUGAUUUCUUUAGUAAUAUGGUAGUGAAACAAUAUAGUUGCGAUUUCAUGGUGACUAGAGCAUAUAUCAUUCUGUCUUUGAUGAGGUGAAUAACUAGUCUUACUUAUACUGUUCCUUCGAAAGGUGCAAAAAUUGGUCUGCAACUACAUAAAAGUUUCAUCCUUUUGCCUUCAUUUGACAUCGACUUAUCUUCGCACUCACAAUCACAAUGUGCCAACAAGAUGUAGUUUGUUUCCACUUCUCAUUUCUCUUUUCUGCCGACCUUUAAUGCUCUUAAAUUUCAGGGUGUCUGCAUUGGUCUAAGUGAAGUAAUGGCCAGUGCUGGCAGGAGUCAAUUGUUGAUUUAUAUGGAUGAGCUUAUCCCCACAAUUCGGACAGCACUUUGUGAUAGGUGUGGUAUCUUACUAUCUUUUGCUUAUGUUGGAGUCCCACAUCGGUGGGUUAAAUGGUCCUUGAUCUCCUUAUAUGGUCGUGGGCAAUCCUCCCCUCAUGAGUUAGCUUUUGAGGUUGAGUUAGGCCCAAGAUCCAUUCUUUACACCUUAUAUUACUAUGAAAAUAGCAGUUUCUUGCAUUUCCAUUCCAAAGUAAUUCUUUGUUUCUUUAUUCAACAGUAUUGCUGAGGUUCGUGAAUCAGCAGGCUUGGCUUUUAGUACUCUUUACAAGGUAAACCUUGUAGAUCCAGCCAAUCUUUGAGAUAUUUUACUGAGAACUUCUCAGCACAAAUCUUCACAUUUGGUGGUUUGUAACAUAGAAUGCUGGAAUGCAAGCAAUAGAUGAGAUUGUCCCAACACUUCUUCAUGCACUAGAGGAUGAAGAGACCUCAGAUACUGCUCUGGAUGGCUUAAAACAAAUUCUGAGGUAAGCUAUUGUAUGUCUGGCUUAGACAUGUUUCUAUGUAUGAUCCUAUCUUUAUGUCCUAGUCUUUGUUGUCACUUAUUUCAGUGUCAGGACCACAGCUGUGCUGCCACACAUUCUCCCAAAGCUCGUUCAUUUUCCGCUUUCGUACGUAUAUAUGCUUUCUUCUCCCAAUAGAUUUUCUGUACCUUGUGGUUCUGCAAUACUCACGAAAAUGUCUCUGCACACCUACAGUGCCUUCAAUGCACAUGCUUUGGGAGCUUUAGCGGAAGUUGCAGGACCUGGUCUUGAUUCCCACCUUAGUACUAUCCUUCCUGCUUUACUGAAUGCAAUGGGUUAUGCUGACAUGGUAUGCCUCCUCUCUGACUUGUGCAUUCAUUUAUGUGGUUUUCGCAUUCAGUUUGUCAUAUUCAAUGGCUUAAUAUACAGGAAGUUCAAAGUUUAGCAAAGAAGGCAGCAGAAACUGUUGUGUCAGUUAUUGACGAGGAAGGCAUGGAGUCUUUGUUGUCAGAACUACUGAAAGGAGUUGGGGAUAGUCAGGCAUACUCUUAUCUUUCCUUCUCUUGUUUUUGUAACUCGUUUAUUGCUAUUCUUUUCUCUCAUGCUGCUUUGUACUUGUAAUUCCAGGCUUCAAUUAGACGAAGUUCCGCGUAUCUUAUUGGAUACCUGUUCAAAAAUAGCGACUUACAUCUUGGUGAUGAAGCUCCAAACAUGUUAUCCAGCCUCAUUAUAUUGCUUAGUGAUUGGGAUUUUGAUACUGUGUUGGUAAUGUCAGGGUCACUUCAUUUCUUUUGAAUUGUUAAUUUGUUGGUAUCUUACCACUUGUUUGACAGGUUGCAUGGCAAGCUCUGUCUAAUGUUGUUAGUUCAGUUCCUAAAGAGGUUCUUCCAACAUAUAUCAAGUUGGUUCGUGAUGCUGUAUCUACAUCAAGAGACAAGGAACGUAGAAAGAAAAAGGUAGCAGUUUUCUGUAUUUCAUACUUCUCCGAUUUAUGUUUAAAAAAAUGCAAAUCAUAUUGUUGUCAGUUGUUUGGGGAGCCUAUAUGUUUCGAUUUUGACGUUCUUCUUAAUGAACACAUAGGGAGGAGCAGUUCUUAUACCUGGAUUUUGUCUUCCGAAAGCUCUUCAGCCAUUGCUUCCUGUUUUUCUCCAGGUAUGCUGGCAUCUUCUUCUAUAAUUAUAAUAAUAAUAAUAAUAAUUAUAAUCAUCAUCAUCAUCAUCAUGCUUUAGUCGAAAUAUCGAACCAAAAACACUAAUCGAAAUAUAAGGGAAUGUCAAAUAGCUUAAUAGUAUGGAAAUCUUUUACCCAACAAAGGGAAUAUCGAACCAAAAACACUAAUCGAAAUAUGAGGGAAUGUCAAAUAGCUUAAUAGUAUGGAAAUCUUUUACCCAAACAAAAAGGGCCUGUCAGAGAUUUAAUAUGCUUAGGUCAAACCCAUAUGUUUGGAAGUUCUAAUUGUGCAAAAAGUUGCCCUUUGUGUGUAUCAAAUUUACGGGCUAAAGAGGCACAACUUACUAGACGGAGUCACUGAGACCAGGCCAACCUAAGACAUAUUAAACUCGACUGUACUACCAUUUUGGAACCAAGUUAGAAGCUAUUUAAAAUUUUCUCAUAUUUUGGAUCCAAGUUAGAAGCUAAUAAUAGGACUUAAAUUUUCUUAGUCGGACAUGGUCACGGCUGGCAUGAAGUAGUAUAAAAAGUAAGUUAAAAGAAGAAAAACUAUGUACCUUGAAGCUGGCCGGAUGGAAAGCCUGAACAGUAUAUUGAUCUUGCCUGAACGGUGGCGAUCUGCCUUUUAUUUAUCUUCACAGUAUAUUACAAAGUAGAGAGAGAGCUAGGCUUAGAGAGAGAAGGGAAGGAAAAGGAAAACUUCUGCCUCCUUAUACAAAAUGAGGCGCCUUUUAUAGAAAAAAAAGGAAUCUGCGCAUAGUACUAUGGAGGCAGAAACAUCUCCUCCUACCAUGGAGGCAGAAACAUCUCCUCAUCUUCCUACACUUCUUCCUCUUCUAAUUUCCCCGUAUUACAACAGGGAUAUAGAAGUUUGAUUAAUGCAAAAAUUUUGCAAAUUGCUGAAUCAUCAUCCAAAAACCAGCAUAUGAGCACUUCAAUUCAUUUAGAAGAUAUUUCAGAAGAUCACCCUUUAUAUGAACUUCACUCCUAUAUGUUUGCUAAGCAAACAAAUUCGUUUGCCUCAAUUGUUCAAGAAGAUAGGCCAAAUUAUGAAAAGCUUGACACUAGAGAACAAAUAGUUUUUAUCGAAAAUGCUCAAGAAGAUCCAUGGAGACUACUCCAAAAAUACUUGAUCACUAACCUUUUUACAUUGCAGGUGAAUCUUAUAAAACAAGAGCUUUUUAUGAGUCAAUCCUACUUUCUACUGGAAAUAAUGAAAUUGAACACUAUCAAAUGAGCGAAACAACCCCAGGAGUGCAUGGAUAUUCCAAAAUGGUCGUCAAAAAACUCAUAUCAAUUGAAGACUGGGGAACCACGUCCAUGACUGAAAAAAUCAUGACAAUGAAAGGAGCGAAAAUAGCUUUCACUUAUUGGGACUACUUAAAAGCAUUUACCCAAACUUUAUAUUAUAAUAACAUAAACAUACUCUGUUUUUAAAAGUCUGUGCUAAAAUAUUUGAAGAUCCCAUUCCAAAUUGGUUGAUCAAAUGAUGGUUGUAUCAUGGCCCCAUAGUUAAGAUCUUGCCACUAGAAUAUUUUCAUCUUUACAAAGAAUGGAAAAAGACUUCACCAUUUUUAACAGAAUUAUACCUUUCUUAACAUGUCUCCAAAUUGGAUACCAUUGAUCAAAUGUACUUUUUCGUAGAAUUUUCCAUUUCCUGGAUCCAUAAAUGGAGUAUUGAAUUCGGGUAUACUAAAGAUCAACUACCAGGCUUAUAUAGGGUAUUUUAUACCAACUUUUGGGAAAAAUUAAACCGCUAGGAUUCGGUUACAAAAAUCCCUUAUGGAAAAGACUUACAAGAAACCAUUAUAAGAAAAAACACCGAAUAUGCUCAUCCUCCACAGAAAGAAAUUAUUGACGACAAAGGACUAAACUAUAUUUCUAGAAGAAUCUCCAUUCAAGAAGGAGAUAAACUAGAAAUGUUUGAAAAAUACUUAGCAGAAGUUCGAAAUAAGCUACUAAAAAACGAUAGAACAAAGUUCAGAUACUUCUAUGAAAAGCAUUACCAGUGAAGAAGCAGAAAACACUGAAGAUAUUUGUGAUUCACAGUCACUACCUCACAUAUCCUCACAAAUGAAGAGAUCAAAAAAACCGAAGCAUUUCUCUAUCAACUGAAGAAAAAGGGAAAAGACAAAAAGGACAAACAGGCCCCCAGCAACUAAUUAUUAUGUUUUACUAUAAGGCCCAUUUGUAACAGCAAAAAUACUAUGUGCAAGGGACCCAUAGUACUAUGCACAAAUUUUUUUUUUCUAUAAAAGACGCCUCAUUCUGUAUAAGGAGGCAGAAGUUUUCUUUUUCUUCCCCUUCUCUCUCUAAGCCUAGCUCUCUCUCUACUUUGUAAUAUACUGUGAAGAUAAAUAAAAGAAUAAAAGACAGAUAACCACCGUUUAAUACCGUUCAGGCUUUCCAUCCAGCCAGCUUCAAGGUACAUAGUUUUUCUUCUUUUAACUUACUUUUUAUACUACUUCCUGCCAGCCGUGACCAUGUCCGGCUAAGAAAAUUCUCAUGUCUACAUUAAAAAUUUAACUCCUAUUAUUAGAUAAUUAUGAAGAAUCCAGACUUUAUCCUAAAUAUGAGAAAAUGUUAAAUAGCUUCUAAAUUGGUUUCAAAAUGGUGGUACAGUUGAGUUUAAUAUGUCUUAGGCUGGCUUGGUCUCAGUGACUCCGUCUAGUAAGUUGUGCCUUUUUAGCCCGUAAAUUUGAUACACACAAGCGACUUUUUGCAGAAUUAGAACUUCUAGACAUAUGGGUUCGACCUAAGCAUAUUAAAUCUCUGACAGACCCUUUGUUUGGGUAAAAGAUUUUCAUACAGUUAUUAAGCUAUUUGACAUUCACUUAUAUUUCGAUUGGUGUUUUUGGAUCGAUAUUUCCACUAAAGCUUAAGCUGAUAUUCUUAUGAUAAGUCUGAACGCAGCGUGGCUUACCCCUGCUUGAGAUCAGACCAUUUUGGAAUAUCCUUGCACUCCUGGGGUUGUUUCGCUCAUUUGAUAGUGUUCAAUUUCACUACUUCCAGUAGAAAGUAGGAUUCACUCAUAAAAAGCUCUUGUUUUAUAAGAUUCACCUGCAAUAUAAAGGUUCGUGAUCAAGUAUUUUUGGAGUAGUCUAUUUGAAUAUUUUCGAUCAAGUAUUAUUAUAAAGGUUAGUUCUCUAGUGUCAAGCUUUUCAUAAUUUGACCUAUCGGCAGUAUUUUCUCGAACAAUAAUAAUAAUAAUAAUUCUUUUUAAUAAGGCAUUCCAACUUAUUUCUUUGUAAAUUCACUAUAGAUAUCGUGUUUUUCUUUUAGUGGAUGAUUUUGGGGGGCUGAGGUUAGUUGAAUAAUGUUAGAGGAAAAAGCUACUGAAAGUGCAUUAGAAUAUGAGUCUUCAAGUUCCAACACAAUUAUAUGUUUUAUGUAUGCUUUGGUGGUAGGGACAAGGCAGUUUAUUAAACUGAAUUUCAGAGUUGAUUAUAUUUUUCGUUUUUCUUUAAAAAAGAAUCAUUGCCGUGCAUGUGCGAUAGGACCAUUCUGCUGGAAAAGUUACAUAUGUUUGGUUACUUUUGAGGUGUGGUUAUGUCUAUAAAUUUCAAACUUUGUUGCGUGAUAAGAAAAUGCCUCAUAAACUCAAAGGCAAGUGCUACAGAGUGGUGGUUAGACUAGCUUUGUUGCAUGGAGCGGAGUGUUGGCCAAUCAACAACUCUCACAUCCAAAAGAUGAUGGUGGUGGAGAUGAGAAUGCUACGAUAAAUGUGUGCGUGUGCUAGAAAAGAUAAGAGGUUAUUUGAGAUAAGGUAGGAGUGACUUCGGUGGAGGUGAAGAUUCGAAAAACAAGCUUGAGAUGGUUCAGACAUGUGAUGAGGAGGUGUACGGAUGUCCCGAUCCGGAGGUGUGAGAGGUUGGCCAGGGAUGGAUUUAGCGAGGUAAAGGUAGAUCGAAGAAAUAUUAGAGGGAGGUGAUUAGACGUGACAUGGAGCAGCUCCGCUUAUCGAGGACAUGACCCUAGAUAGGAAGGUGUGGAGGAGGCGAAUUAAGAUAGAAGGAUAGCAGGAAAGGGUGUGUCAUUGCUAGUAGGUAGGAGGACUUUGUUUUGUUGUUCGUGCUAGUAGCUUUAGUACUAGUAUUGUUUCAGAGUGUGUUAUCGUUUGUCGUAUUACUUGGUGAGUUUUGUUUAUGCUAUUAUCAGUGGAUGUGGUAGUUCCUAUUGUUUGUUGUUUCUUUACUAUAUUUUUUCUAGACUGUUUUGUCUUGAGCAGGGGGUAUGUCGAAACAACCUCUCUGUGUCUCACCUCUGAGGUAGUGUUAUGGACUGCGUACAAUUACCCUCCCUAGAUCCCUCGUGGUGGGAAUAUACUAGGUAUGUUGUUAUUGUUGUUUGAUACACCAGAAUUGUUCUUUGUACGUUGGACUGUGCUUUGUCUGAUCUGAUUAUAUUUCAGUUCUUGUUACAUACUCAAUGAACUUUUCUUUUGGUCAUGUCACCUUUUUUUGGUAUUUCAUGGAAUCAGCCUUUUUCUUACUAGAAAUCCCACUAGUGAGGUCCAGGAAGGGUAAAGUGUCUGCAGACCUUACUACUACCUCGUGGAGGUAGAGAUGUUGUUUUCAAAAGGCUUUCGGCUCAAGUGCAACAAAUCAAGGAAACAGUGAAAAGUCUACCUGAAGGAAACUAAAACAACAAAGUAGUGCGAUAACUAGUACACAAUAAACUAUAUACUAUGAUAGAGUAUCAAAAACAAUAAUACACAAUGAUAAAUAUCAAAAACAAAAAUUACAAUAAUACAACUAGUAUAAUGACAAAUGCCAACCAACCUAAGUAAGACGACACUCCAUUACCUUUUAACUUUCUACCCUAAUACGCGUCCUCCGCAUCCUCCUAUCUAAGGCUAUCUCUAACAUGAAACUGCGCCAUAUCCUGUCUAAUCACCUCUCCCAAAUACUUCUCUACCUCUUCUCGUACCCUUUAUAACCAACCUCUUGCACAACCUCGUUGGUGCGUUUACACAUCUCCUCUUCACAUGUUCAAACGAUCUCAGUCUCGCUUUCCUCAUCUUGUCCACCAUGGAGGCCACUCCACCUUUUCCCGAAUAUCCGCAUUUCUAAUUUUAUCGCUCCUGUUAUUACCACACAUCCACCUUUUUUUCCUUUUUGGUUUAAUCACGAAGAGCGAUAAGAAAGACAACAUGGAGAUGCAACAAAAACAUAUUCCAAAUCUUUGAGGUUGCUUUAUUAGUUUUCGACAUGAUGCUUAAUUUUCAUUGCUAGAGUAUGAUGGAUAUGUAAGUUGCUCGAACUUGGAAGAGAGAUAAGAGCGAGAACUUGGAAGAGAGAUAAGAGCGACAACAUGGAGAUGGAACAAAAACAUAUUCCAAAGCUUUGAGGUUGGUUUAUCAGUUUUCAACAUGAUGCUUAAUUUUCAUUGCUAGAGUAUGAUGGAUAUCUAAGUUGCUCGAACUCGGGUGCAGUUGUCCGAUACGGGUGUGGAUCUAGGGGUCCGAUCCUUCAUGUACUCAAUUUUAAGGUUUUGGGAUUUGGAUCCAGGUAUGGAUAUGGGUGUAGGAAUUCGACUAAAAAUAAUUCAAAUAUCUAAAAAUAGAGUUAUAAAACCUAAAUUAUGAGAUAAUAUGUGGAAAACUUGAGCAGAAAGUAUUGAUCAAGAGGAGAAUCGUGAGAGGAGAUAAAAGAAAAAUCAAUAACAUAAAAAAAUUCUAUAUACGGUAUUCCAUUUUUUUCAAUUUUACCUUAGCUUUUGUUCUGAUUAUAGAAAUCUGUAAAUCUGUCCGAACUUUCUGCCCAUUUUGGUCAAUGUACCAAAAAUCGGUUGAUUAAAUCGGUUACGGAUCCCACAGCGACACCCAUGUCGUAUCGACAUGGGUGCUGCACCGAAAGUGAAGAGUCCGAGUAACUUAGAUGGAUAUUCCGCUAUAUCAUGCAUGAGGCCAAUGCUAUCAAGGAUCUUGUGCUUAAACAAUGAAGCAAGAUGCAGUACAGGCAGGGGUAUCUCUGCGCUAGAAUGUAGACACAGGGCAGUCGGGUGUGACCAGUGGCGUGCAUGAGCUGUAUUCAAGAGACUUGACUUUAAAUACUCCCUCCGUUUCAAAAAGAAUGACCCCUUUCAUUUUUUGACAAUACUUUAAUUUCAACUUUCCACAUGACAUGUUUAGGACCACAAGAUUAAAGGGCAUUUUGGUACAUUUGUCACAACUUUAAUUUAAGGCCAUUUAUUUUCUUAAACAUUGUGCCAAGUCAAAGUAGGUCAUUUUUUUUUUGAAAUGGAGGGAGUAAUUAAUAUGGAGGAUAAAACAUUAUAUAUAGUAUUAAGGAAAUGUUAUAAAUGAAUAUUUAUUAAAGCAGAAGUCUUAAAACUGAUCACACAUCUGAACUAGAAGUUCUAAAACUGCAUUUUUCACUUCAUUGAGAAAUUAAAGUUGCACUUGCAUGAUAAUGUUCAUACAUUAUGUAUUUCACUCAAAUGUGGUUCUUAGUCCUUUCUGCAUAUAAUUAUUUGUCUGAGGAAUAUUUUUUUUUGUAUUACAUACACAUACAUACACGUGUGGUAUUUUUAUGCUUUAAUUGAAUUUGAAGGCCUAGGAAAUGAUCAUGUUUUCCUUGUUACUUUUGGCGAUGCUGCAUGGCACUCGUCCAAAUUUCUGACCUUGUCAUUGCUGUCGGGUUUACAAUGCAAAUGUACAUGUCUCAGCUAGAAAUAAAAUGUUGAACUGUGAUUUUUGCCAAGAGGAAUUAUAGGCAAAUUUCUUAAAUUUACUGAAAUAUUAGCAAUCUAAUCUUAUCCAAACAAUCACUGAAAUGUUAAGAUUGAACCCUCUAAAAGAAGAUAAAUAAUAGAGCAAACGUAAGUAUUAAAUCACAACAUAAACUAUGUUCAGUUACCUGAUUUUUUUCUUUAAGAAAUGUCAAUCACCUCUGUUCACUUGUCAUCAUUUCCCUUGUCCCAUCACCUGUUAUUUGGUUCUUUAAUGUACUACUUUUAAUAGCAUUGAUUUCUGUACCGGAGUUUAACAUUUUUCAAAAUAAAUUUCUUAUUCCAUUUGAAUCCAUUUAACCUAUCCAAUAGUCUAUAUUCUGAUGGAUGUUAAAGUAAGUAAGAUGCUUUAAGAACUAACUCUACUAUAAAUGUUAAUGGUUUGCAAGUAUAUUUGUACUUUACUAGCAAGUCAAGUCCAUAAUUUCAAGCAGUUGAUAUUGAUUACAGGGUACUGUGUCAAGUUUUAAAUUCAAAGUGGUUUUCCAAGUUUCUGGAUUAUCCAAUCAAACAAUUGGUAGCCAUCAAUUAGAAGUUUUACGAGCAAAUUGAAUAAAUAAUACUCUCGUUGUCCCAAUUUAUAUGACUAUUUCCUUUUUUAAUCCGUCCCAAAAGGAAUGGCCCAUUUCUAUAUUUAGUAACAAUUUUACUUUAAUAUGUCGAUUUUAUCCUUAAUGAGAUGAUUUACAACCACACAAACAUGUUAGACUUAUUUUAGAUGACAAAUUUCAAGUAUUUUCUUUCUUAAACUCCGUGCCAAAGCAAACUAAAUAGUAAUAUCCAUUUUAAUCUUUGGAAAGAAAAUAAUACUUGAUGAAGAUAAAAGAAAAUUUUACCCGAGUGUUGAACAUGAUGAUACCAAAGAAAGAAGAGAGAAUGACUAAAUUAGAGAGUAACCUGAUUUUUUUUUUGGCAACACUCUUUUAUCCUAGUUCCUUCUUCUCCAAAACCGACCUUCCCUAGCGGUUUCUCGUUGUAUUUAUCUAUACAUUUCUUCGUAGUGGAGUAAUUGAAAAACUUUCCCAGCAGAGUGGCGCGAGGCAUUAAAACUAAAGUGGAGGCACCAAUGAUUUCUCUAUCCAAUGAUUUUCUUUUGAACUUACAGGGUCUCAUAAGUGGAUCGGCAGAACUAAGGCAGCAAGCAGCUUUAGGUCUUGGUGAGUUAAUUGAAGUGACAAGCGAGAAGACACUAAAGGAGUUUGUGAUUCCUAUCACAGGGUAUGCACCAUGGUGUACUGGCACAACUUUUGUACCAGCAUGAAGAAUUUCAUAUAGGAAGAUAUUAAGAUGAUUAUGUUUUAUCUUUUCUAGAUUUUAUAGUCUCAUUCUCUCUCAGUUUAUGCUUAACUUUUUCACAAUAUGCUUUCAAUUGCAGACCCUUGAUUCGUAUUAUAGGUGACAGAUUUCCUUGGGAAGUGAAGAGCGCAAUUCUAUCGACACUGAGCAUCAUAAUUCGAAGGGGUGGAAUAGCCCUAAAGCCCUUUCUUCCCCAGCUUCAAACAACAUUUGUCAAGUGCCUACAGGAUAACACAAGGUUAGUUAUUUAGGGGUUUACCUUUUUUUGGCUGGUAGAUGGGGAAAUGAUGUGUUGUAAACAUAAUGCUCUUCUGCCCUGUUUUCUCAUUCUUCCCAUGACAUCUGUUUCUUUGUGAAGCGAUAGCUUCAGUGCUUUGUGAUCUUUAUUCCUUGGUCUUAUGUAAGUAUUAUUAUAGGACAAUACGAUCGAGUGCUGCUAUAGCGCUUGGGAAGCUUAGUGCUCUCAGUACCAGAGUUGAUCCUUUAGUUGGUGAUCUAUUAUCUGGUGUGCAGGUGAUAGUUUUACUUUAUUCUACUUCUCUGCUGUCAUGAUUUAUCUCUUUCUAGGAAGCAGUGUUUAUUCCAUUAAGUUAAUGGUCAACAGACAUCAGAUGCUGGAAUUCGUGAGGCUACUCUAACUGCUUUGAAAGGUGUGAUUAAGCAUGCUGGUGAAAGUGUCAGCAUUGCUUCUAGAACACGUGUCUAUAUCCUACUGAAGGAUUUAAUACACAAUGAUGAUGAUCAAAUAAGAAAUUCUGCUGCAAGCAUACUGGGAAUUGUUUCACAGGUUUGGAUCAUUCUACCAGGAAAUAUUUCUUUUCCUUUAUAUCAGAUUUUGCAUCCUGCAUUUUGCAAGGUUUCAUUUAUUUACUGAGGUGCUUGGUAAAGGUUAUUUGGUAAUUUAUUUGAUGGGGAGUUUUGUUCAAAAUAGGGCAGGUUGUAAAUGAAGGGGAGCCUUGGAGUAAUUAGGGACAAGGAGGUCACGGGUUCAAGCCUUGGAAACAGCCUUUGGUGGAAAUGCAAGGUAAGGCUGCGUAUAAUACACCCUUGUGGUGGGGCCCUUCCCCGGACCCUGCGCUUAGUGGGAACUAUAGUGCACCAGGCUGCCCUUCUUUAGGGAAGGUUGUAGAUCAUGAAGUCGUCACUUUUUUCGCUCUAGCACAGGCAGUGUUAUCAAAGGCGCGCUUAAGCCCUAAAGCGAGUCUCAAAAUGUGUUGAGCGCUCCGCCUCCCUUAAUCUGCACUUCAGUGUCGUCAUCGAUGUUCUAAGGCAUGCUUCUCCUCACGAAUGUGCCUCUUCCAAAGAGGCGACACUAAAAAAUAGACAUUUUACUUUAUCGUAAUUUUGUUUCAACUUCUUUGUUCAUAUAUUUGUCAUUCAUGCUUAUAAUUAGUAAUUAUUAAUCUUGGAUUAAACAUGUAUAUUUGUAUUUUUAUCUUUCAAACGACUCUUCAGUAACCCAGGGUGAUCCUACCCUUUCGACGCUUUUUUCGCUGUAUACCCCUUUUUUCAGUUAAAGUUCAUGCUUUAUUCACGUUUUGCACUUAAAGCCCCGUGGACCUUAGAGCUAUUUUGUGCUUUUGCUUUCGUUAACACUUAGCGCUGGGUGUUUGAUUUUUAAUUGGCCUCUUGCAAUUUCCAUUGUUCCUUCAGAGGAUAAUAAUCCUUAAUUUUUGUCCCACAGAUCUUAUAAAUUUCUUUUUCUUUUAAAGCUUGAAAAAUAGAUAGGCAAAUGAUCUCGCAUCUUGUUACCUUCUAUUAAGUAGUAACUACUAACACACACUAUUUCCAAUUGUUGGAUAACCUGCAUAUGGAGGAUUUUUUACAUGGAUUUUUUUUUUGAACAUCGUCUAUGCAUGGGAUCUUGACAUACAGUGACUCUUUCGCGUAUCUUUUUGCUCAUGAUCUUUAUGGAGUUUCAAGGUCCCCGCUCUGUUACAGACUUAUUAUUAUACCUAUUAGUACGCUAAACAAAUAUUUGACUGAUAUAUUGCAUUAGUAGUUAUUUUUUUACAGUAGGUGUCAACUUUCUAAAAUAACAACUUAGCUUUCAGUACCAAGCAAGUUCGGAUUGGCUGUUUGAAUCUUCAUUGACCAUGUAGCUUCAUUUGAUAGGUGUGAACUUUAUGAUGUAAAAGAAUGUUGUUGAGAUGGUAGAUAUUAUCAUCUCCUUUCCAUCUGAGUAUGGUAAAAGUAUGCUUCUGUAGACUGUAAUACCAAGACUAUCUUGGUGCUUUUAGUAACAAAAUCAUACAUUGCCUUCUCAAAGAACGUAGGAUGAGUAAUCAAAACCAUUUUCCUUCUUCACUUUUCAAGAGAAUUGUGCCUGAAAUUAUCUGAGCUCUGUGAUGGAGGUGUAGGGUCAUUUUACUUUGUUGAUUUAACUAUUAAAGUCUCGGGAGAUUUGUUUCAAAGGAUUCUUUAUUAAGCCGAGAGUGAUGUAUCUGUAUAGAUAGAUCAGCAGAAAAUGUUUCGGACAAAGUUGUGUUUGUAUAUUGGAAUUGUGCUGAAUUAAUGGGCUUCUUUCAUACCAUCAGCUUGACUGAGCUAAGUUUUAGUAGAUCUGUUUGUGUUCUUUGGUCACAGACCAAUAGUGGCAAAAUUUAUCUAUCAUCAGAAUAAGAAAAGAAUAACAAUGAGGAAAAUCACCUUAUUGAAAAACAUAAAUGAACGAGGGAAAAAAUGAUUCUGGAUUGCUGAGGGAAACCGUGUUUCGCCAAAAUGUUUCUCAGUCUUUCUUGAAACAAAAUCUGGAUUUACAGCUAAUUAUAUGCAACAAACUGAUAGGCAAAAGAAAACAUUUACAAAAUUUUUUGUUAGAUUGAUUCUCAGGUAGUCUACAUUUUUAUGAUUCUACAGUACCUGGGAGACGGACAAGUUGUUGAAGUACUUGAUGGGCUGUCAAAAUCAACUUCAUCAUCUAACUGGUGCUCAAGGCAUGGAGCGGUGCUUACUAUUUGUUCAAUGCUUAAGCACAAUCCUGACAUAAUUUGUGCUUCUUCAUCAUUCCCAUUGAUUGUAAACUGCCUCAAAAUCACCUUAAAUGAUGAAAAGGUACAUCUGACAUAUAUCAUUUUACUUAAUAACUUUAUUAUUCUUUGUGGAAAAUUGCAUUAGUCCGAUUGCCGCCGAAACUUAAAAAUGUUGUUUCCUACUUUGUCUUUGAUCCAAUCUUGGAUACAAAAAUAAUUCCACUUUAUAGUUACCUUUAUUGAAGGGAAGGUUUUUGAACUGAAAAUCAAUGGAUUGGUGCUUUUUUUGUCCCAUUAAGUAAAUCAAUCAAUCAGUGUUAUAGUCCAACAUGAACAAGUAGAGGUCUUCUUUUUAAUAUCCGAAGCAUCUUUUUGGUAAGAUACUUUCUCUAUUUUUUCAAUUUUCUGUACACCAAACAUCCACAAUAGGAUUGGGGUUUUUCAUUUUCUUAUUACUCAUCUUAAAAUUUUCAAAUUCUUUACUCAGGAGAGUGAACUGCAGGUGCAAGCAAUAAAACUGAAACCCAUUUUCUUCUUACGUUAUCUUAACAUUUUCAAAGCUCUUACUCUGGAGAUUAAAUUGCAAAUGCUAGCAAUAAAACUAGAAGUGCCUUGCCAAUUUACUCUUUCAGAAAGAGUAAAAGUUAUUUAUAUGGAAACCUGAUGGUUUUUAUUUGUGAUUGCUCCUUUAUUUGUUAGUUUCCUGUUCGUGAAACAUCAACGAGAGCGUUGGGAUUGCUUCUACGUCAACAAAUCCAGAGCGAUCCUUCAAAUGCUACUUCACAUGUGGAAACUCUGGGAUCCAUAGUGUUGGCCAUGCAGGAUGAUUCAAGUGAAGUCAGAAGACGGGGCUUAUCUGCAGUGAAGGCAGUUUCAAAAGUUCGUUCUUCUGAAAUAGUCAAAUAACCAACAUACAUCAUAACACGUGCUCGUCAGUAGGCUCAAUUUUUGUUUUAAAAUUAACUUUGUCGUUUUCUAUCUUACAGGCCAAUCCUGGUGCCAUUGCCAUCCAUGUUUCAAAAUUUGGCCCUGUUCUGGCUGACUGUUUGAAGGAUGGAAACACAUCCGUGAGACUUGCUGCAGAGAGGUGUGCCCUGCAUGCCUUUCAAUUGGCAAAAGGUAUUCCCUUUGCAUUUUUUUGUUAUGCUUAUUAAGCUGCUUCUGGUACUUGCUGAUCCUUUUUACGUAUGUGUUUGCCAAUUUUGUUGAAAUGCUCAAGAAGCUGCUUCUAGUGCUUUGUUAAUCUAUUUCGAUAUUGUAGUCCUCUGAUUUUGGUAUGGCAAGUGUCUAGAGGUUCCUUUCUUGUGUUUUCAGGUACAGAAAAUGUUCAAGCUGCACAGAAGUUUAUUACAGGCUUGGAUGCUAGACGAAUAGCAAAGCUCCCUGAGCACAGGUGAACUGUUUUUAAUUAAUCUAGACUGUAGCUUACUAUUUGCAGAUUGUUUGCUUCUGAUGUGCUAUUUCGAAUUUGUCUGUUGCAUUAUCGUUUAAUGUUAUAUCAUUCACAAGUACAACAUUUCUAUCACAGAAAUUUUUUGACAAUUUUUUUUUUCUGUGAUAGGCUUCUUCUUUACCCAUUUUUACACUUCAUUUCUGUUUUACUGCUUGCUCUGGUUUGGUUCACUACUACAUUAAAUCACCAUGGAAGAUACACCUGCUAUUAAAUUAGUACCAUUUGAGAACUUAAUUAUGGCAGAGAUUCUUUACUCCUUUUGCACAAAAUCAAUAUAAUGGUCCUUAUGUUUUUGGGGCAGGGUUAAAUUAAUCCCUUAAACCUACUCCUGAGUAAUUUUGAUCCUUAAGUUUGCCAAAUGUGGGACUUUUAGUCUCCGUGGUUAGAUUUAAGGAGAGGUGUGUAAAAAAGAUUUUAUAACAACACUGGUAAAGUCCCGUCAAAUUGCAGUAAAAGUACCUCAACAAAAUGCACCAGACACCAAAUGUAGACCAAAAUUAGAGUAAACUGCAAUAAAUGUACUUCCAAAAUGUGAGUUCCUAUUUAAUCAUUAUUGUUUUCACAGUUCCCGUUAAAUCAAACCUCUCGGAUCUUGUAAAUAUUUUGAUGAAGCCCAAGAGUGCUCACUUUUACCAAACUUACAGAAUCAAAAGUGGUUGAGAGUGUAUUUUGGGGACUCCUUUAAACCUACCCCCAAAGUUAGGGUCCUAAUUUUGUCAUUUCUAAGUUGUACCUAGUUCCAUGUAUAUCAUUUGAUCUCUCAUUACUUGACGAGUUCUUGUUCUUUGUUUAUCUACUUUAUGGAGUGCUCUUGGUUAUAUUUGUAACUCAUUUGGUUCUUUUCCCCCUACUUUUGUAACUGGUCUACUUUGACCGAGGAUGCACAAAUUAUUGAACUAAGGUGCAAUAAUUUCAAACGCAAGGAUACUAUUUAACUACUCUCCUAGGGUUGGAGGUCUUGUUGAUUACCAAGUAACAUGGACAACCGCCUUUUUUGAAUAAUUGUCAAGAAGUAUGCAACUGAUAACUGAUUUACCCCUUUUAUUAAGUGCUGUAUUGUGGUGAUCUCUCAUGUUAUCAUAUGUAAAAUCCACAGUUCAGUUUAUUUGCAUCAAAUUGGUGAAAGAGUCUUCAUUUUAUGUUAUUGAAAUGCCUUAGUCUGAACAAUAGAAGGCAUUCACAAAGGGAGUCAAUUUUUUUUAGGUCUUUUACCCCACUCCCCCUCCCUUUUUUUUUUUGGAGGGGAAAAUUCUUUUUGUUCCAUUCGUAGGAUGUUUGGAGAGAAUAAAAAAGGUAAGCUGUAAAGAGGUCAACUAAGAAUCUAAGCUGUACAGGAAAAUCUUUCUGUUGAAGCCCUUGGGAGGAAUUGCUUGCCUGUUACUGUUCGAAGAAACUUUAUUUCUGCUCUUUGAAAAGGAACAUCUAGGAUACCUUUUUUGAAGUGCUUUUAGGAUUCCUUUUUAGCUCCUAAAAUGAUUUCUUGGAAGCUCUCACAAUGACUCCAUCAAUUUUGAGUCACUAAUUUUCCGUUUUUCCCGGACUGAGGAAGCAAUGUUUGAUUUAGCUUGCAUCUCGCAGUAAUAGAGACAAUGAUUAGUCUAUUGUUGAUUUUGUAACAUACUUUUCAGUGGAAAAUAUCUCUCUUAGAUUUUAUGUCUGCUCUCCUCUGAAUAAGAUUGCAAGUAGUUUCUACCCUCGAGGGUUCGUAUCUCAAGCAUCAUUGUUCAAUCUAUAGAUUCCCCUUGCUUGUGCCUUGUAGUCCACAGUGAAAUUUCUCUUUUUUUCUUGUAUAAUCAAUAAAUUACCGAUGGUCAACUUGCACGGUUCAAAACCGGUGGUAAUGGUCCUGCUGCUGUACCCUUUUCCACCUGAUUAUUUGGGUUAGUCCACAGUAUCACUCGAACUCAUGAGUGCACGCUGCCAACACCUCCCUUUCCACUGAACCAAAUCCCUAGGGGCAUUUUAUUUUAGUCUUUCUUUUAUCUUCAUUGCUGCGUUAUAUUGUGCACACUUUUUAGCUUCAACUUUAUUUUCUUGUAUUUGGGCAGCUACGCUUUCAACUUACUCAUGAUAUUCUGACUUUGUUCAUGUUGCAGUGAUGAGAGUGGAGAUAGCGAUAAGGACGCCUCAAGUGGCUGACAAGAUUAUGACCGUAAAUCACUCUUUUGCCUCCAAACUACUUAUCCUCAAGGUCAGUGAGACAAGUAGAAGUGGAAGUUUUGCUUGAGAUUUAAUUAUUUACAGUAACCAUCUUAUACAUAU
rnacentral:lncRNA from 1 species